AACAGGUAACAGUAUCCACAUUCUUCGUCUGGAAACGGAGCCCUAGAGCCCUAAUAUAUUGAGGUGAAAGGAAGUUUUGAGAUCUACUCCACACCGCAUUGGGGGAGAUUAAGUUUUCCGAUGAUGAAAAGUUUAGUAAUCUGAGAAAAAUGGAGAAUGGAGGUUUCAUCCAUAACUGGCGCUCCCGAUGCUUAUUCUUGCUGAGGUCGAGGAACCAGUUUUCUCCAUCAAAUUCCAGGCAUUAAACUCAUCUUCCAUAGCUUUCUUCCAUUGAGGAUGUUUUAAAGCUUCUUUCUCGCCACAUGGUUCAUGUUGAGUAUAAUCAACUAACAAGACUUUAGGUCUAAAGAUUCCACUCUUACCUCGAGUAAUCAUUGGAUGAGGAGAGAAUUGUUGUGUUGUUGUUGAUGGGAGGAUUGUUAGCAACAGGCAAUGCAUCUAUGGACAGAGUAUGAGAGGUAGUUUCUUCUUGAGUAUCACCGUUCUCAGUAUCAGGUUGGGAGCUACUUUGCGUGCCUAUCUCUAAAAGAUGCACAUUAGUAGUAUCAGGAAAUGUGUGAGGUAAAUGCCUUUUUGUGCUAUGGUUCAUGUUUGGGUUGCAGAGAAUGGUAUUAAUCGGUGGACAAUUGACAAUUGUUUGAGUUUUGGAGUGGGAGAGAAAAGGAAAUGUUUUUUUCAUAAAAAAGAACAUGUCUGGAUAGUUGUGAGAUUGAUACUAGGAAUGUGCAGGGUUGUGAUCUGAAGGACAAUUUGUGAGAUUGAUAGAGCCUUAAGUAUGAAUAACAUUUGCAGCCAAAGGUUCUAAGUGAUGGAUAGUUGGGCUUUGGACCGAAUAACUUUUCAAGAGGACUUAUGUUUUGUAGGACAGGUCUGGGAAGCCGAUUGAUAAGGUAUACACUGGUAGAAAAGGCUUCAUCCCAGAAGUUAAGGGGAAAGGUGGCUUGGGAUAGGAGAGUAAGUCCCAUAUCCAUGAUAUGUUUCCUUUCCACUAUCCCAUUUUGUUGUGAGGUAUGUGAGCAAGUUAUGUGAUGUUCAAUUCCAUAUUGAUGUAGGAAGGGAAUGAAAGGGAAGAGCAGGACGUUUUCCUAUUGCACAAGCUUCACAGAAUUUCAAUUUAUUAACAUUCAAAGUAGGACGCAUAACAUGUUUCCAAGACAAUUUAAACAAUAGAUAAAUGGGGAUGGCCCAAUCUUUUGUGCCAGUCAUCAAGAGAAAUAGUGGAAUUGUAAACAUUUAAGGCUUCAGGUGUUGUGAGGGAUGAUCGGAUGUUAAACUUGUAUGGAAGCCCAUCACUGAGUACCCUUUGGAGAAAGUUCAGCCAGUUCUGUCGACAGAUCAACAAAAUUGAGAUCGUAGGCUUCCAAGGCUGUGAGGAUUUGGAAUUUCCAGAGAAAAUUGUCAUCUCUUAAUUUUACUGCAGAGAUUUUGUUUCAAAAACUGGUCUGUGAGAUGGAUGAUGAUCCAUCAGUUGAGUCAGAGUGUUCAUCGUUGAGUGAAUGAGGGAAUUCGUUCAAAAACCCUAGCUAUGGAGCGACAAAAGUCGAGAAAAAAAAAGGAUUAAAGUAAAGACAAAUUCUAGAAGAUGGGCCUUUGAUACAAGAAGAAUGAGAAAUAGAACCUUAAUGGGCUAUCGGUUUCGUAUCUCUUAAACUUUGAAGAUUUGUUGUUUUAGGGUUUGAAUUAUGAACAGUUGAACCGUAGUUUCUGGAGAAAGUGUAAAUGCUGUAUUUGUUUUUUUUUUUUUUUUUUUUUUU